AUUGAACGCUGGCGGCAUGCCUUACACAUGCAAGUCGAACGGCAGCACGGGAGCAAUCCUGGUGGCGAGUGGCGAACGGGUGAGUAAAGUAUCGGAACGUGCCCAGUCGGGGGGGAUAACGUAGCGAAAGCUACGCUAAUAUCGCAUACGAUCUAUGGAUGAAAGCGGGGGAUCGCACGACCUCGCGCGAUUGGAGCGGCCGAUAUCAGAUUAGGUAGUUGGUGAGGUAAAGGCUCACCAAGCCGACGAUCUGUAGCUGGUCUGAGAGGACGACCAGCCACACUGGGACUGAGACACGGCCCAGACUCCUACGGGAGGCAGCAGUGGGGAAUUUUGGACAAUGGGCGCAAGCCUGAUCCAGCAAUGCCGCGCGCAGGAUGAAGGCCUUCGGGUUGUAAACUGCUUUUGUACGGAGCGAAAAGGCUUCCACUAAUACUGGGGGCUCAUGACGGUACCGUAAGAAUAAGCACCGGCUAACUACGUGCCAGCCGCCGCGGUAAUAC
rnacentral:rRNA from 1 species